GGCGUCGUGACGGAGUGGUUAACGUGAUUGACUCGAAUUACAUCGUUGUGUUAUUCCUCUUGACAUGCUUGAGAGAGGAAAGAUGGGCGAUGACGGAAAUUUGAUAUCAAUUCCUUUCGGGGGCGCAUGUUCGAAUCAUGCCGACGUCG
rfam:Sclerotinia sclerotiorum 1980 scaffold_2 genomic scaffold, whole genome shotgun sequence.